AUUGAACGCUGGCGGCAGGCCUAACACGUGCAAGUCGAGCGGAUGAAGGGAGCUUGCUCCUGGAUUCAGCGGCGGACGGGUGAGUACUGCCUAGGAAUCUGCCUGGUAGUGGGGGAUAACGUCCGGAAACGGGCGCUAAUACCGCAUACGUCCUGAGGGAGAAAGUGGGGGAUCUUCGGACCUCACGCUAUCAGAUGAGCCUAGGUCGGAUUAGCUAGUUGGUGGGGUAAAGGCCUACCAAGGCGACGAUCCGUAACUGGUCUGAGAGGAUGAUCAGUCACACUGGAACUGAGACACGGUCCAGACUCCUACGGGAGGCAGCAGUGGGGAAUAUUGGACAAUGGGCGAAAGCCUGAUCCAGCCAUGCCGCGUGUGUGAAGAAGGUCUUCGGAUUGUAAAGCACUUUAAGUUGGGAGGAAGGGCAGUAAGUUAAUACCUUGCUGUUUUGACGUUACCAACAGAAUAAGCACCGGCUAACUUCGUG
rnacentral:rRNA from 1 species